GUAGGUGGCAAGCGUUGUCCCGGAAUUAUUGGGGCGUUAAAGCGCGCGCAGGGCGGUCCUUUAAGUCUGAUGUGAAAGCCCACGGCUCAACCGUGGAGGGUCAUUGGAAACUGGGGGACUUGAGUACAGAAGAGGAAAGCGGAAUUCCAAGUGUAGCGGUGAAAUGCGUAGAGAUUUGGAGGAACACCAGUGGCGAAGGCGGCUUUCUGGUCUGUAACUGACGCUGAGGCGCGAAAGCGUGGGGAGCAAACAGGAUUAGAUACCCUGGUAGUCCACGCCGUAAACGAUGAGUGCUAAGUGUUAGGGGGGUUUCCGCCCCUUAGUGCUGCAGCUAACGCAUUAAGCACUCCGCCUGGGGAGUACGGCCGCAAGGCUG
rnacentral:rRNA from 1 species